AUAAAAAAAAAAUGGAAUGGUUUGUGAAUAAAUCAUUUCAUGGACUGUUUGAUACAAAUAAGGAGUUAGACCGGCACCAACAACAAUGCCUCAAGUUAGGUAUGAUAUACAUUGCAGCUAAUAACUUUUGAGUAUAUAGGAAAAGCCGCUUUCAAUAAAUAAUACAAACAUUUCUUUUUAUCUCAUUUGCUCACUGUCAAUGGUGAAUACAGUUUCAGUCUGCAGCAAUUUCAUUGUGAUCAACGCCUACAUGCAAGUUAAAUGUGCUCGAAGCCCCUCUUUAAUUCACCAGAAUAAGAGAAAGGGACUCUAAGGGUCAAAUUAAG
rnacentral:misc_RNA from 1 species